AUGCAAAGUGCAUCCAGGAGUGAGCGAUACUGUUCAGGACUGGAGAGCCUGGUUUUUGUCGCAAGAACAGCAGACACAGUAGCGGCUGCACUGCUCAGAACUGCAGCACUAUAUCUAGUGGGAGAAGACAAGGUCGACAAGGUUCGAGAACCUUCCAAAGAACUUGUCGCCACAUUUCUGGUGGAGCUGCUUUCAUUGAUCGGUGGAGGAAGAAAAACAGAGGACAGGCACAAAAAGGAAGGUGAGAACAGGUAGCAUAAUAAAGCUAAGAGAGCAACCACGCGAUAUCGAUACUUUAUAAAGGUGUGACAGGUCACGAGGGUAAAAGGAGCUUGAGUCGGGUAUUUAUUGCGGCUGUGCUUCAGCUCAGAUUAAAAUCUGAUAUAUAAUCCUCCGUAAAACUGAUUUUCUGAACAUGUAUUUAAGUUCACUGUCUCUAAUCUCAUUUAAAAGGAAAUCAGUAUCAUAUAACAACACACAUUUGAAGACGGAUUUGUCAACAACCAAGGAGAAAAUAAACCCAAGUGUGAAGGGUGAAUUUCCAUAAACCGAGAAAGAAGGAAACUUAUGUCACUUUUUUCCAAAAAGUCUCUCUAUGAACAGUGUUUCCUUAGAGAUGAUAUACACCCAGAGCCUGACAUUUUAAUGAGACUUGUGUUUUCCAGAGAAGCAGGUAUAACCAGCUGCCUGUGCAGAGGCAGCAAUUCAUAUUAAUAUGGAAAAGAAAUAACUUUAAAAUAUUGAGAGUAAAGCUACUUGGGGAGGAGGGCAAGCACCUUUGUAAAAUAAACUGUAGUUCCAGUGAUAUGACCAAAACAUCACCUUCUCUGCUGAUGCUUUGGGGUUUUUUUUUGUUUUGGUUUUGUUUUUUUUUUUGGCUUUUUAGGGCUGCACCUGUGGCGUAUGGAAGUUGCCAGGCUAGGGUUAAAAUCAGAGCUGCAGCUGGCAGCCUAUGCAACUCAGGAUCUGAGCCAUAUCUGUAAUCUCUAUCACAGCUCACUGCAAUGCCGAAUCCUUAAGAAUCCUUAACCCACUGAAUGAGGUCAGGGAUCAAACCUGCAACCUCAUGGAUACCAGUCGGGUUUAUUGCCGCUGAGCCACCAUGGGAACUCCAGUUAGUUUUCUAAAGAUUCAAAAAAUGCUGGUAUGAAAUUCCAUCUUCAGAAUUCUUAUUACUUAGGAAUUUGUUUCUUCUGGUCUUUUAGAAAAGGUCAAACACACCUGGUCAGAAAUUAACAUUCCACCAUUAGGAAUGCAAUUAUUUUGAAAGUUGGUUUUCAAAUUGGAAUCGAGACUUUCUUUUUCGUUACAUAAAAAGAAAGUCUAAAAUGCACAGGGUGAAACCUGCGUCUCGCGUCUUCAUUGACGAGUGUAAGUUCUUAAUGAAUAUCCUCUCUCUCCUGUGAUCGCUUUUCCCAAAAUGUGGUGACAAGGGCCACCUCCAACACGGAGCAAUCAUGUACCAAACUCAGUCCGAGCUAAUGAGAGCUCGACGUCUCAACUGUGAGGAAUAACACGGGUCUCUUCUCCCUUUCAGAAGAACUUGAUAACCCAGAGUUCCUAAUUCCACUCGCUAUAAUUUUACAGACCCUUAGAAGACAAAUUUUAAAAACAGUGGCAAGGCAUUAUAUAUAUGUAUACAAACACACACAACUGUUUAAGUAUAAUUUUUUUGGUAAGUCUAUAAUUUAAUUGAACUACAUGACUAUGUUUUAACAACUGUUAUGAAUGGUGAAAAAAGAGAAGGGGAGCUGAGAAAGAGCAAUGAGAGAUGCUAUCAGUGGCAGUGCAGGGAAAUAUGAGUGUCAUGCAAAGUAAAAGAAUAAAGUUACCCAGUGAUUCAACUUUGAGUUUCUUAAUUACUCCGCAUCUUUAAGGCAAUGGCUACUCUUUGAGGGAAACUGCAACUAACAAGAAACUUAAGUCUAUAAAGAGUCAGCUAAAAAAAAACAAAAACAAAAAUAAAUCACCUAAAUCAUCUUUCUCCUGUAAGAAGAAAAGGAAACUGUGAUGAAUUUCUUUCAUCACAUUACAUCACAAGUAAUAACAUAAAAGAACCGAGUGUCAGCAGAGUCCACAAAAUCUUAUAGGAAGAAUUAACCUGAAUACCUUUAGAACACGUCUAUCGUCUCCAUCACUCCUUUUUUCGGAGGUGACUGCUCUGACUCAGUAAGGUCGACCCGGGAGAAACUCAAGAAAGCUGACGCUCCACGUCACAGCGAAUAAAAAAAAGGCACAGAUUUCCUGACUCUAAGUUAGAACUUAACAUCUAAACAAAAAUGAGAACUAUGAAAGUGGUGCAAAGCAGUGUUCCAGGGCCAAGUGCCAAGCAUUCUUGUCUAUUGUUAGUGAUGUCAGUUCUGCAACUUAUGAUCACUUUUUCCUUUUUAGUCAAACAGCUUUAGUACUUAAUUUCACCACCAGCAUUAACGUUUAGACAUACCAAGAGAAAAAAGACUCUACCUAGAAUGUGUAGUUACUUUAGAAAGUGUGGCUACUUGGCUACCAAGAUAUAAAACCUGAGAAACUGCAGGUGGGUGAGGUCCACUCUUGGGGAGGUCUUCCAGGGAACUGUCAAACCUGAGUUUUUAAGUAAAAUAAACAAGGCAGAGAAAAUAUUAAUGAAAAGUAUAGACAUGUAUCACAUACACUACCCAAAAGUACAUUGGUUCCAUUCUGGAAUACUGCUAGGUUUGUUUUUUUUUUUUUUUUUCCUUCAAACUUCAUACCUGCAUGAGGUUAAAACCAACACCAACACACCACUAAACACAAGCUGUUUCCGCCCCCCCAAUUUUUUUUUUUUUAACAUGUCAACUUCCAAGGGAUAAAAGAUUAUGCUUACAAGGGAAGAAAAGUGGAUGGGAAUUUCCACCACUGACUGUAUUUUGCAUACUUUAGGGAAACUUCAGCGAAACUUCAGCUCCGAGAA
rnacentral:lncRNA from 1 species